ACUACGGGUGGCAGCAGUGAGGAAUAUUGGUCAAUGGUCGGGAGACUGAACCAGCCAAGCCGCGUGAAGGAGGAAGGUACAGAGUAUCGUAAACCUCUUUUGUCAGGGGACAAAGUCUGGCACGCGUGCCCGGCUGAGUGUACCUGAAGAAAAAGCAUCGGCUAACUCCGUGCCAGCAGCCGCGGUAAUACGGAGGAUGCGAGGGUUAUCCGGAUUUAUUGGGUUUAAAGGGUGCGAAGGCGGACUGUUAAGUCAGCGGUAAAAGCCCGGGGCUCAACCCCGGCGAGCCGUUGAAACUGGCAGUCUGGAGUUGGCGAGAGGUAUGCGGAAUGCGUGGUGUAGCGGUGAAAUGCAUAGAUAUCGCGCAGAACUCCGAUUGCGAAGGCAGCAUACCGGCGCCAAACUGACGCUGAGGCACGAAAGCGUGGGUAUCGAACAGGAGUAGAUACCCUUGUAGGC
rnacentral:rRNA from 1 species